rnacentral:tRNA from 1 species
AAAUAAGUGGUUCAAUAAAAAAUUUCUAAUUUAUUUAUUUUAUGGUUAAAUUCCAUUUUUAUUUU